GUUUUCUUUUCUUUUCUUUUCUUUUUUUUUUGGGGGGGGGGGGGGUCUCUUCAGUUUAUCACAUAAAUGACUGCUUAUUCAAAAGUUUUAGAUAUUUUUUUACUAUUGUUCUUAUCUAAUGUUUAAAUACGAUUUAUAACAUAUGAUUUUUUUUUGUCAGGCAAGGAUAAAACUAAGAAAGAUAAAAGUUUUUUCAGGUGUUUUUGCUUCAUUUAGACACGAAAAGGGAAUAACGGACGACUAAAUUAAAGUGUUUUGUUUUCAUAUAAUAUAUUGAACUUGCGAAUAUAUCUCACCCAACACGUUUUGAUCGGGACAGUGAAACCUAGUUCAAUACGGUUUUAUUCAUUGAAGUUUGCAUGCAUAGUUCUUAUUUAAAAAAAAAAAACACAAAUAAAGCAAGAUCUAUUAAUUGAUUGGACUGAAUAGACAACACUAAUUAUUUUGCAUUCGCAUGUAUCUUAAUGUAGGAAAAUUACCAAAUCAGAAACAAAAGGAACAUUUGCCGGAUGAAUAUUGUGAAGGACCUUAUGCAUCUAGGACUGUCCGAUUAAAAGUUCUUAAACAAGCUGUUUAAAAAGCUAAUUGUUGGAAGAGUUUACUUACUGUUUUCUAAGGUCUGAUCUUUACGAUUCUAUUUCAUGAUUACUGACAGAUCAAAAACAUCAAGUAUAUAUAGCAUGAAGUUGUUGGGCAUAAUAUUCAUUGGUCAGUUAUAAAUGAGGUCUG
rnacentral:lncRNA from 1 species